UUUGUUUUACAAAACAGACCAAUCUUCAAAGAUGGACCCUCAGAACCCAAGCUCUAUCCCUCUUCUCCUCCCUUCUUCUUCCCCCACCCCAAAUAAUGUGGCGGACCAUUGAUGCUCACUUGAAAACUGUCCGCUUACCUGUCCGUACUGUCCUCCGCUCUCACCACCCAAACCCUCCCUCCCUCACUUCUUUUAAACCACCAAACUCUCUCCAUGUUUUCUCUCUCUCCAAAACCCUAACUAACUCCUCAUCAACCCCCUAUCCCCCCUCUCCAAUUCUCGCUUUCACAACACGCUGCAUUAAUAGUGUUGCUUUCAGCCGCGGUCGUAAUUUGGUGCCUGUGAGGUGCAUUUCUUCAAUUUCAUCCUCCGCCGCUCCAAAUCAGCAGCACACGGCUGUGGGCUGGAAUGAGCCGGUGACGUGUUCGGAGCUCGGUGAUGGUGGUAAAGGCACGAAUAUCGAGGAGGACGCUCGGCAGUCCAUUCCUGUUCGCGCUUUUUUAUUCUCUACUAGUGUGGAUUUGAAAAGCUUAGUGGAGCAGAACAAGAAAAAUUUUAUACCACCAACAUCGCGAAUGACAAAUUAUGUUGUUCUUAAGUUUGGGAACCUCUCUCAAGCCCCUGGUCUGGGCUCUUGCAUAAGUGGAAGUAAUUGCUGUUACAUGGUAGUGUUCCAAUAUGGAUCCAUCGUUUUGUUUAAUGUCCGUGAACACGAGGUUGAUGAAUAUCUGAAUCUUGUAAGGAAGCAUGCCUCAGGAUUGCUCCCUGAAAUGAGGAAGGAUGAGUAUGAGGUGAGAGAGAAGCCAACUCUAAACACAUGGAUGCAAGGUGGAUUGGAUUACAUUAUGUUGCAGUUCUUGAACACUGAUGGAAUACGGACAAUUGGUAGUGUUCUUGGUCAAAGUAUAGCUCUUGACUACUAUGGACGCCAGGUUGAUGGAAUGGUUGCUGAAUUUACUGACAUAAAUCGUGGGAUGGAAAAAACUGGAACAUUUUCUAUGGACAGCAAAAAGCUUUUUCAAAUAGUGGGGAAGGCCAAUUCUAAUCUUGCUGAUGUGAUUCUAAAGCUUGGGCUUUUUGAGAGUUCACAGAAUGUAGAUGUGUAAAAGAUAGAAAGAUGUCAUUUAGACUACAAGGUGAAGCUCCUCCCCCCUCGCCUCCCCAACUUUUUUCUGGAAACCAAAUGCAUCCUGAAUGCCAAAAAAUUUUCAACUAGCUCAAGAACCUCCUGGCCCAAUCCAAUCUUGGUUGGACUGGUAGAGGCCCCACACUAUAAGGUCCUUCUAGGAGAAGAUGUGAUCGGGGGUCGUUGAGGAUAGGCUAUACCAUAAGUGGUAAGAUGGAUAGUAAGAAGAAAGGGAACGAGGGCCAGAGACUUCAGAAGCUGCAGUCAUUUGCUGUUUAUUGUGCUGUAGUUGUUGUUUUGUCUCUACGCAUGCUGCUACUGGGGCCAACCACCUACUUCUGUCUUUCUGGGUGCCUGACGCAUAGUGGGUAAUGGCUCUGCUUGCAUCGCUAGACCAGACGUUCCCAAGUUCGGGAGACAUUUUUAGCCACCUGAAAAUGGAAAUAAAUUAGAAAGGUUCUAAUCCUAUUGUUAAUUUCUAAUUGAACCAGGAUCAGACAUAGCUUGGAAAGAUGCCAAAUAUGCUCAGAUAUGGGAAUAUCUCAGAGAUGAAUUUGAAUUAACUCAGAGAUUUGCGAGUCUUGAUUUUAAGCUGAAGUUUGUUGAGCAUAAUAUUCGCUUUCUUCAAGAAAUUCUACAAAACAGGAAAUCAGAUUUUUUGGAAUGGCUCAUCAUUGUGUUGAUUAGCGUCGAAAUCAUUAUAUCCGUUUUCGAUCUUGUUCAGAGAUCAGGAUUUAAAUUCCUCUAAUCAUUGUAGUAUUGAUGUCUAGUGAUACACAGAUGAAGGUGGCACUUGCUGUGAUUUUUCCUUUCAUAUAACCUUCGAUUUUGUUUCUUUCCAACUUGUAAAUAAAAUUUGGAUUGUAUAUGUUAACCGAGUUUUUGGCUUUUCGUGGAGCCAUAAAGGCUUAGCCUUGGUUUCAAAUAUCCAAUGUAUAUGCCCUUUUCAUGUGUCA